UACAGAGGCCUCAAGCGUUGUUCGGAAUCACUGGGCGUAAAGGGUGCGUAGGCGGCGCGGAAAGUCAGGGGUGAAAUCCCGGAGCUCAACUCCGGAACUGCCCUGAAACUGCAGUGCUAGAAUCUUGGAGAGGCGAGUGGAAUUCCGAGUGUAGAGGUGAAAUUCGUAGAUAUUCGGAAGAACACCAGUGGCGAAGGCGACUCGCUGGACAAGUAUUGACGCUGAGGUGCGAAAGCGUGGGGAGCAAACAGG
rnacentral:rRNA from 1 species